rnacentral:lncRNA from 1 species
CUUGUAGAGAAGAGGCCCUGACGCUAAACACAACAUCUGUGCUCAUCCAGCCACACUUAUUUUACAUGUUCCUUUGUCUCCUUUGAUUUGCCUAUUGGACUAUCCUUGCCUGAUGUAUCCUUAGAUUUGCCCCCAAGACACUGGGUUUGGUUUGUCCUGGUUUGAACUUGGUGUCUCUGGCUAUUGACUCAUGUUCUGACCUCCACCCAGCCCCAUUUCUGCUCUUCAGAACCAGGCUUUGGCACCUCCAAGGACCUGACCUCAGCUCAACCUGCCUCUGGCCCUGUUUCUCCUGCCUGACACCGACAAUUGGAAGGAACCCGGUUCUUCUGCAAGGAGCUCCAUAGAGCUGAGUGGUUUACCUGAAAUAAAGCUUGCAUUAUGGGAGAGACAAACAGGGAUGGAUGGCUUUUAAAAAAUCCAUAGGCCCAGAGGCAGGGCCAGAGUUACAAAAUCACCAAAUUUUGACAUCUGCCUCUUCAAUCGGUUCCAGGAAUGAAAUAAGUCCAGAGUGGGUGUUUGGCCAAGCUGGGAACCAGAAAUCACAGGAAUGAAGCUUGGAGAUCAUGACUAGAGAAAUAAUAGAAACCGUGAAGUCUAAUCACCAGUGUGAGGACAAAAAUGGAAGAAGGAGCAGCAAAGUGGAGCAGCUGCAAAAGAUGUAAGUAGAAUCAGGGGCAAGAUGAAGGUCAAGGGGAGUGAUUCAGAACCCAGUCUGUGAACACUGUUAGUUCUGAACAAACAAAAACCUAGUGUGUGUCAUAAGCGUCCAUGAGAGCUUCAGUGGGCUCUCCAGGGCUGGACAACUUGUUAACACCAAGUCUAAAGAGGCUGGAGCCAGGCUGGGUGCACGCAACUCAGAAACUGCGGAGAGUGUCUUGAGUUAUGGUCAGUCUUGUUUUCUUUAACAGACUACAGGUACAUCUGUUUCUUGACUCUGCCUUGGAAUUAUUUGUCAUUCUGAUGAUUCCUUCAUGAAGCAGCUAAAU